AUUGAACGCUGGCGGCAGGCCUAACACAUGCAAGUCGAACGAGUGGCGGACGGGUGAGUAAUGUCUGGGAAACUGCCUGAUGGAGGGGGAUAACUACUGGAAACGGUAGCUAAUACCGCAUACCAUCAGAUGUGCCCAGAUGGGAUUAGCUAGUUGGUGGGGUACCGGCUCACCAAGGCGACGAUCCCUAGCUGGUCUGAGAGGAUGACUAGCCACACUGGAACGGAGAAACGGUCCAGACACCUACGGGAGGCAGCAGUGGGGAAUAUUGCACAAUGGGUGCAAGCCUGAUACAGCGAUGCCGCGUGUAUGAAGAAGGCCUUCGAGUUGUAAAUAACUUUCAGCGGGGAGGAGUUACCCUCAGAAGAAUCACCGGCUAACUCCGUGCCAGCAGCCACUGUAAUAC
rnacentral:rRNA from 1 species